ACAUCCCAGAUUCUAGCUAGCAAUGCUGAGAUCACGUUCAAGUUUCUUCAUCUUUGCUUCCUGCUCCUUGACUGCCAUGGUAAGAGAUCUCACAUCCAAUGCUUCAGACAGUUCUUUUUGACACUCUGACUGCAAAGAUACGGACAUUAGACCUGCCUCAGUUAAUCUGAUAAAACAUAUUUUUGAUGAUUAAAUUGGUUCAUAUCAGCAAAGAACAGAUCGAAUGAUUGGCCAAUUUAUACUUCGCAGAACUAUCCAAACUAAAAUGAAGUAUAGAUGUUAUAGUUAAAUGUUCUGCGUGUGAGAUUGAAGGACCAAAACAGACGGUAGUCAUUUCUGUAGUGCAGGGAUGCAUGCAUGUAUGAGGUGGAAGAAGGCGAACAAGAACAGGAGACCAACCUACC
rnacentral:lncRNA from 1 species